AAAGUAGAAAUCAAUAUAAGAAA
rnacentral:snRNA from 1 species